GAAUGAACCCUUCAUGUCUACAUAGGGAGUGGGUCUUCUUCACAGAGUCUGCCAUGUUGCACCGCCAUGUUUCUACAGUAGCCCAGAACGGACAAACCAAACACUGGCUCUAGAGAGAGAGCUUUUAUGCGUUAUCUGAAGGCCACCAUCGUUCUCUGAUACACUUUUGAAACUGCGGUAAUGUGAGCUGCAGAGCGCAAAACUGUGGUACCGCCAGCCGCCGUCUGACUUCUGUUGCUCCUACAGUAGUGUUAUUAUGAUAUAGAUGGCCUUUGAGC